rnacentral:rRNA from 1 species
UACGGAGGGUGCAAGCGUUAUCCGGAUUCACUGGGUUUAAAGGGCGCGUAGGCGGCGCAACAAGUCACUUGUGAAAUCUUCAGGCUUAACCUGAAGCGGCCAAGUGAUACUGUCGUGCUAGAGUGCGGAAGGGGCAACUGGAAUUCUUGGUGUAGCGGUGAAAUGCGUAGAUAUCAAGAGGAACACCUGCGGCGAAGGCGGGUUGCUGGGCCGACACUGACGCUGAGGCGCGAAAGCUAGGGGAGCGAACGGG